rnacentral:rRNA from 1 species
UACGGAGGAUGCGAGCGUUAUCCGGAUUUAUUGGGUUUAAAGGGUGCGCAGGCGGCACGGCAAGCCGGCGGUCAAAUCGCGGGGCUCAACCCCGCCCAGCCGUCGGAACUGCCGGGCUAGAGUGGGCGAGAAGUGCGCGGAAUGCGUGGUGUAGCGGUAAAAUGCAUAGAUAUCACGCAGAACUCCGAUUGCGAAGGCAGCAUACCGGCGCCCGACUGACGCUGAGGCACGAAAGCGUGGGGAUCGAACAGG